UACAGAGGUGCCAAGCGUUAGGCGGAAUCACUGGGCUUAAAGCGCGCGUAGGCGGAUGUUUAAGUGUCUUGUGAAAUCCCACGGCUCAACCGUGGAACUGCUGGGCAUACUGGACAUCUCGAGGCACUCAGGGGCGAGCGGAACAAGUGGUGGAGCGGUGAAAUGCGUAGAUAUCGGGAGGAACACCUGUGGCGAAAGCGGCUCACUGGACCACAACUGACGCUGAGGCGCGAAAGCUAGGGGAGCAAACAGG
rnacentral:rRNA from 1 species